rnacentral:rRNA from 1 species
CCUACGGGAGGCAGCAGUGGGGAAUAUUGGGCAAUGGGCGCAAGCCUGACCCAGCAACGCCGCGUGAAGGAAGAAGGCUUUCGGGUUGUAAAAUUCUUUUCUCAGGGACGAAGCAAGUGACGGUACCUGAGGGAUAAGCCAAGGCUAACUAAGAGCAAGCAGCCGCGGUAAUACGUAGGUUGCAAGCGUUAUCAGGAUUUACUGGGUGUAAAGGGCGUGUAGGCGGGACUGUAAGUCAGAUGUGAAAACCACGGGGUCAACAUGUGGCCUGCAGUUGAACCUGUAGGUCUUGAGUACUGGGGAGGCAGACGGAAUGCCUGGUGUAGCGGUGAAAUGCGUAGAUAUUAGGCGGAACACCAGUGGCGAAGGCAGGCUGCUGGCCAGCAACUGACGCUGAGGCGCGAAAGCGUGGGGAGCAAACAGGAUUAGAUACCCUUGUAGUC